ACAGGACCAUGACAACUGAAAACUCCCCACCUCUCACUGCCAGGCUAGCAGACAUGGAGUAACAAGAAACAGCAAUCUAAUGCUGCGUGGCAAGGGCACAGAGAGAAACCACUCUCUGGGGUAGACACAGAGAAACAUUGAGAAAAGCCUUCUAGCAACUCAGUCCCCACCCAAAGCAGAAUGUAAUACUACUAGAUUAGAAGCCAGUGGUGCCCUGAAGGUAACCACAGCAACAAAAAUAAACCCAAUCCCAGCUGAACUUCAGACCAAUUCAAACACCUUGAGUGUGUCCCCCAUGCCUGGGGAGCUUAAUAAUACUUGGGCCACUGGAAGAAAUUCUGAUUCCAAUGGUCUAGGGUGGGAACCUUGUCCUGGCAUUUAUUUAAAAGCUCCCUCAGCUGAUUCUAAUGUAAGUGGGAUUGAGAACCCCUAGCCUUGUCCCUUGUUCUCAAGUCACCAGUCACGCACCUAGUGACCUUGAAUUCUGUGACCUCUUGUGUAGUGGCUCAUAAACACCUUUUAAAAACCAGCUGAUGGUGAUUUAAGCGAGAUCAGGCAUGUCUGAAGAAAACACUGACUCUCUAGGACCGUGACCGACAGCCAUGCUGCAGAGCCUGGAAACAUGCCCAGUGAGAACUUUCAGUUCUUGGUCGAGCUGGGCGCUCCAUUCCUCUUGCUGCGGUCUCAACCGUGCAGUUUCAGCCGUGCUGCAAACCUGCAACAAGCUCCGAGGAGGCAGGUCUGCAGUGAUGUGCAAGAAAUGCCAGAAAAUAGCAAGGUGGAGGGCUAGCAAGGUGACUCUGCAUUUGCCAAGUUCCACAAUGUUCCACGACUCCCACUAUGGCUGAUUUCAGGCUACCAACAUCUUAACAACUGGCUGUCUCAUCUCCUGCCCCAUUCGCUCAAGCAUACACACAGCUGUAAGCUAACUACCCAUUUAUAUCUCCUGAAGCCACACGAUUUAAAUACCCUAGGAAAGGGUGGUGUGCUGUCUGACAACUUGGGAAGACAGAUGCUCAGAGACUCUAAGAAGAGGCCCUGGGAAGGCUGGAAAUAGAAGAGAAGCCAUGGAAUUGCAGAGAGACUACGAGGUGGGCGUGGAGAGGGACGCAAAGUCACCAUCACACAGAGCAAGGCGCUAAGCUUCCAGAAGGUCUCCAGCUUACUUAGCCCCUUUCUUCUCAUUAGAAAUCUAUGAGGUGUGAACAAUGUAUCUGGAAAUGAUCCGGGAAAGGGAGCACAAAGCUAAAGGCAGAAUCGCUGUGGGGUCCUGAAGAACUGGGCAUGGUGCUUGCCGAGUCCCCGGGCAACGUGGCGCCACCGUGGGUUUAAACCUGUUGAGCCGCGCGGGCGCCGGGGCCGUCUGCAGAUGAGGCUUUGACCAGCUGGGGAGGUGUAGCCAGUGUGUGCAGACGCCAGCUCGAUGCCAUUUCGUGAGGUUUGCCGCGCUGCUAUUAGUGUUAAAAAGCUCCACAAAGGAAAAGGAAAAGAGAAAGUCAUAUACUGUUGCUUUCAGCAAUUAACGUGGGUUCUACAGCAGGGGGAGUUCGCCUGUGUAAUAAACAGAAUAUUAUAGGUAGCAA